rnacentral:rRNA from 1 species
UUGGAGGGCAAGUCUGGUGCCAGCAGCCGCGGUAAUUCCAGCUCCAAUAGCGUAUAUUAAAGUUGUUGCAGUUAAAAAGCUCGUAGUUGAAUUUCGGGAUUCAUCCGUUGGUCGGGCUUCACGGUCCGUACUGGUGUGAUGGAUUCCUACCUUCUGAAUAACCGGCAUGCCAUUAAUUUGGUGCGCCGGGGAAGCAGAACUAUUACCUUGAAAAAAUUAGAGUGCUUAAAGCAGGCAAGUGCCUGAAUAGGUUAGCAUGGAAUAAUAAAAUAGGACGGCAUGGUUCUAUUUUGUUGGUUUCUAGGAUCACCGUAAUGAUUAAUAGGGAUAGUUGGGGGCAUUAGUAUUCAAUUGUCAGAGGUGAAAUUCUUGGAUUUAUUGAAGACUAACUUCUGCGAAAGCAUUUGCCAAGGAUGUUUUCAUUAAUCAAGAACGAAAGUUAGGGGAUCGAAGACGAUCAGAUACCGUCGUAGUCUUAACCAUAAACUAUGCCGACUAGGGAUCGGACGAUGUUAAUUUUUUAAUGACUCGUUCGGCGCCUUACGGGAAAC